GGGUUGUGAGGUUAAGCGACUAAGCGUACACGGUGGAUGCCCUGGCAGUCAGAGGCGAUGAAGGACGUGCUAAUCUGCGAAAAGCGUCGGUAAGGUGAUAUGAACCGUUACAGCCGGCGAUGUCCGAAUGGGGAAACCCAGUGCAAUUCGUUGCACUAUCGUUAACUGAAUACAUAGGUUAACGAGGCGAACCGGGGGAACUGAAACAUCUAAGUACCCCGAGGAAAAGAAAUCAACCGAGAUUCCCCCAGUAGCGGCGAGCGAACGGGGAGCAGCCCAGAGUCUGAAUCAGCUUGUGUGUUAGUGGAACGGUCUGGAAAGUCCGACGGUACAGGGUGAUAGUCCCGUACACCAAAAUGCACAGGCUGUGAACUCGAAGAGUAGGGCGGGACACGUGGUAUCCUGUCUGAAUAUGGGGGGACCAUCCUCCAAGGCUAAAUACUCCUGACUGACCGAUAGUGAACCAGUACCGUGAGGGAAAGGCGAAAAGAACCCCGGCGAGGGGAGUGAAAAAGAACCUGAAACCGUGUACGUACAAGCAGUGGGAGCACCUUCGGGUGUGACUGCGUACCUUUUGUAUAAUGGGUCAGCGACUUAUAUUCUGUAGCAAGGUUAACCGUAUAGGGGAGCCGCAGGGAAACCGAGUCUUAACUGGGCGUUAAGUUGCAGGGUAUAGACCCGAAACCCGGUGAUCUAGCCAUGGGCAGGUUGAAGGUUGGGUAACACUAACUGGAGGACCGAACCGACUAAUGUUGAAAAAUUAGCGGAUGACUUGUGGCUGGGGGUGAAAGGCCAAUCAAACCGGGAGAUAGCUGGUUCUCCCCGAAAGCUAUUUAGGUAGCGCCUCGUGAAUUCAUCUUCGGGGGUAGAGCACUGUUUCGGCUAGGGGGUCAUCCCGACUUACCAACCCGAUGCAAACUACGAAUACCGAAGAAUGUUAUCACGGGAGACACACGGCGGGUGCUAACGUCCGUCGUGAAGAGGGAAACAACCCAGACCGCCAGCUAAGGUCCCAAAGUCAUGGUUAAGUGGGAAACGAUGUGGGAAGGCACAGACAGCCAGGAUGUUGGCUUAGAAGCAGCCAUCAUUUAAAGAAAGCGUAAUAGCUCACUGGUCGAGUCGGCCUGCGCGGAAGAUGUAACGGGGCUAAACCAUGCACCGAAGCUGCGGCAGCGACACUAUGUGUUGUUGGGUAGGGGAGCGUUCUGUAAGCCUGCGAAGGUGUGCUGUGAGGCAUGCUGGAGGUAUCAGAAGUGCGAAUGCUGACAUAAGUAACGAUAAAGCGGGUGAAAAGCCCGCUCGCCGGAAGACCAAGGGUUCCUGUCCAACGUUAAUCGGGGCAGGGUGAGUCGACCCCUAAGGCGAGGCCGAAAGGCGUAGUCGAUGGGAAACAGGUUAAUAUUCCUGUACUUGGUGUUACUGCGAAGGGGGGACGGAGAAGGCUAUGUUAGCCGGGCGACGGUUGUCCCGGUUUAAGCAUGUAGGCUGGUUAUCCAGGCAAAUCCGGAUAAUCAAGGCUGAGGUGUGAUGACGAGGCACUACGGUGCUGAAGUAACAAAUGCCCUGCUUCCAGGAAAAGCCUCUAAGCAUCAGGUAACAUCAAAUCGUACCCCAAACCGACACAGGUGGUCAGGUAGAGAAUACCAAGGCGCUUGAGAGAACUCGGGUGAAGGAACUAGGCAAAAUGGUGCCGUAACUUCGGGAGAAGGCACGCUGGUGUGUAGGUGAAGCCCCUGCGGGUGGAGCUGAGACCAGUCGAAGAUACCAGCUGGCUGCAACUGUUUAUUAAAAACACAGCACUGUGCAAACACGAAAGUGGACGUAUACGGUGUGACGCCUGCCCGGUGCCGGAAGGUUAAUUGAUGGGGUUAUCCGUAAGGAGAAGCUCUUGAUCGAAGCCCCGGUAAACGGCGGCCGUAACUAUAACGGUCCUAAGGUAGCGAAAUUCCUUGUCGGGUAAGUUCCGACCUGCACGAAUGGCGUAAUGAUGGCCAGGCUGUCUCCACCCGAGACUCAGUGAAAUUGAACUCGCUGUGAAGAUGCAGUGUACCCGCGGCAAGACGGAAAGACCCCGUGAACCUUUACUAUAGCUUGACACUGAACAUUGAGCCUUGAUGUGUAGGAUAGGUGGGAGGCUUUGAAGCGUGGACGCCAGUCUGCGUGGAGCCAACCUUGAAAUACCACCCUUUAAUGUUUGAUGUUCUAACGUUGGCCCCUUACCGGGGUUGCGGACAGUGUCUGGUGGGUAGUUUGACUGGGGCGGUCUCCUCCCAAAGCGUAACGGAGGAGCACGAAGGUUAGCUAAUCCUGGUCGGACAUCAGGAGGUUAGUGCAAUGGCAUAAGCUAGCUUGACUGCGAGCGUGACGGCGCGAGCAGGUGCGAAAGCAGGUCAUAGUGAUCCGGUGGUUCUGAAUGGAAGGGCCAUCGCUCAACGGAUAAAAGGUACUCCGGGGAUAACAGGCUGAUACCGCCCAAGAGUUCAUAUCGACGGCGGUGUUUGGCACCUCGAUGUCGGCUCAUCACAUCCUGGGGCUGAAGUAGGUCCCAAGGGUAUGGCUGUUCGCCAUUUAAAGUGGUACGCGAGCUGGGUUUAGAACGUCGUGAGACAGUUCGGUCCCUAUCUGCCGUGGGCGCUGGAGAAUUGAGGGGGGCUGCUCCUAGUACGAGAGGACCGGAGUGGACGCAUCACUGGUGUUCGGGUUGUCAUGCCAAUGGCACUGCCCGGUAGCUAAAUGCGGAAGAGAUAAGUGCUGAAAGCAUCUAAGCACGAAACUUGCCCCGAGAUGAGUUCUCCCUGAGACUUUAAGUCUCCUGAAGGAACGUUAAAGACGAUGACGUUGAUAGGCCGGGUGUGUAAGCGCAGCGAUGCGUUGAGCUAACCGGUACUAAUGAACCGUGAGGCUUAACCUUACAACGCCGAAG
rnacentral:rRNA from 1 species